rnacentral:rRNA from 1 species
UACGUAGGGUGCAAGCGUUAAUCGGAAUUACUGGGCGUAAAGCGUGCGCAGGCGGUUUUGUAAGUCUGACGUGAAAUCCCCGGGCUCAACCUGGGAACUGCAUCCAAAACUGGCAAGCUAGAGUAUGGCAGAGGGUGGUGGAAUUUCCUGUGUAGCGGUGAAAUGCGUAGAUAUAGGAAGGAACACCGAUGGCGAAGGCAGCCCCCUGGGUCAAGAUUGACGCUCAUGCACGAAAGCGUGGGGAGCAAACAGG